rnacentral:rRNA from 1 species
AUUGAACGCUGGCGGCAGGCCUAACACAUGCAAGUCGAGCGGAUGAAGGGAGCUUGCUCCUGGAUUCAGCGGCGGACGGGUGAGUAAUGCCUAGGAAUCUGCCUGUUAGUGGUGGAUAACGUCCGGAAACGGGCGCUAAUACCGCAUACGUCCUGAGGGAGAAAGUGGGGGAGCUUCGGACCUCACGCUAUCAGAUGAGCCUAUGUCGGAUUAGCUAGUUGGUGGGGUAAAGGCCUAACAAGGCGACGAUCCGUAACUGGUCUGAGAGGAUGAUCAGUCAACAUGGAAAUGAGGCACGGUCCAGAAUCCUAAGGGAGGGAGCAGUGGGGAAUAUUGGACCAUGGGCGAAAGCCUGAUCCAGCCAUGCCGCGUGUGUGAAGAAGGUCUUCGGAUUGUAAAGCACUUUAAGUUGGGAGGAAGGGCAGUAAGUUAAUACCCUGCUGUUUUGACGUUACCACCAGAAUAAGCCCCGGCUAACUUCGUG